GAUGAACGCUAGCGGCAGGCUUAAUACAUGCAAGUCGAGGGGCAGCAAGAUACUUCGGUAUUGUUGGCGACCGGCGCACGGGUGAGUAACACGUAUGUAAUCUACCUUAUACUGGAGGAUAGCUUUCGGAAACGGAAAUUAAUACUCCAUAUUGUCUUGUUACCAUAAGGUAACAAGAUGAAAGUUUUUCGGUAUAAGAUGGGCAUGCGCCCUGUUAGCUUGUUGGUGAGGUAAUGGCUCACCAAGGCUACGAUAGGUAGGGGAUCUGAGAGGAUGUUCCCCCACACUGGUACUGAGACACGGACCAGACUCCUAUGGGAGCAGCAGUAAGGAUAUUGGUCAAUGGGCAAAGCCUGAACCAGCUAUGCCGCGUGCAGGAUGAAGGCCUUUAGGUGUAAACUGCUUUUAAUGCGUGAGAAAAUAGCCUCUGCGAGUGAAUGAUGUUA
rnacentral:rRNA from 1 species